rnacentral:rRNA from 1 species
UACAGAGGUCCCAAGCGUUGUUCGGAUUCAUUGGGCGUAAAGGGUGCGUAGGCGGCGCGGUAAGUCGGGUGUGAAAUCUCGGGGCUUAACUCCGAAACUGCAUUCGAUACUGCCGUGCUUGAGGACUGGAGAGGAGACUGGAAUUCAUGGUGUAGCAGUGAAAUGCGUAGAGAUCAUGAGGAAGACCAGUGGCGAAGGCGGGUCUCUGGACAGUUCCUGACACUGAGGCACGAAGGCCAGGGGAGCAAACAGG